rnacentral:rRNA from 2 species
AGAGUUUGAUCAUGGCUCAGAUUGAACGCUGGCGGCAGGCUUAACACAUGCAAGUCGAGCGGGGGAAGGUAGCUUGCUACUGGACCUAGCGGCGGACGGGUGAGUAAUGCUUAGGAAUCUGCCUAUUAGUGGGGGACAACAUCUCGAAAGGGAUGCUAAUACCGCAUACGUCCUACGGGAGAAAGCAGGGGAUCUUCGGACCUUGCGCUAAUAGAUGAGCCUAAGUCGGAUUAGCUAGUUGGUGGGGUAAAGGCCUACCAAGGCGACGAUCUGUAGCGGGUCUGAGAGGAUGAUCCGCCACACUGGGACUGAGACACGGCCCAGACUCCUACGGGAGGCAGCAGUGGGGAAUAUUGGACAAUGGGCGCAAGCCUGAUCCAGCCAUGCCGCGUGUGUGAAGAAGGCCUUAUGGUUGUAANNNNNNNNUUGCAAAGGUAAGUUAAUGGUCUAUAAUGCACAUCCAUCGGCGGUGAUGCAGAUAGAAACUUGUUGAAAAACAGUUACUUGAGAUUAAGUUGGUUACUUUAAGUGAUGAAUUUGAUGUUAAGUUGGUUUGAAAGAUAAGUUUUAAAAAUAUCGAAAUUACCUGUUGACUUUUAAGAGAUUAAGAGUAAUAUAGCCGACCUAGCUUGCUGGUGACGAACCAGGAAGAAGAUCAUUAAGAGAAUUGAAGAACAACUUGUGUGGAUUUUUACUGAUUGAUUAAUCGAAAUAAUUUUCAUUGAUUGAUUGGUUUAAAUUACUCGAAGUUUAUUUGAGCGAAAUUUAAGUCAGUAAUUGAUGAGCCAGAAUUGGCACCUUGUCUAUAAAUAAGGUGCAAAAUGAUUUUAACUGAAGAGUUUGAUCAUGGCUCAGAUUGAACGCUGGCGGCAGGCUUAACACAUGCAAGUCGAGCGGGGGAAGGUAGCUUGCUACUGGACCUAGCGGCGGACGGGUGAGUAAUGCUUAGGAAUCUGCCUAUUAGUGGGGGACAACAUCUCGAAAGGGAUGCUAAUACCGCAUACGUCCUACGGGAGAAAGCAGGGGAUCUUCGGACCUUGCGCUAAUAGAUGAGCCUAAGUCGGAUUAGCUAGUUGGUGGGGUAAAGGCCUACCAAGGCGACGAUCUGUAGCGGGUCUGAGAGGAUGAUCCGCCACACUGGGACUGAGACACGGCCCAGACUCCUACGGGAGGCAGCAGUGGGGAAUAUUGGACAAUGGGCGCAAGCCUGAUCCAGCCAUGCCGCGUGUGUGAAGAAGGCCUUAUGGUUGUAAAGCACUUUAAGCGAGGAGGAGGCUACUUUAGAUAAUACCUAGAGAUAGUGGACGUUACUCGCAGAAUAAGCACCGGCUAACUCUGUGCCAGCAGCCGCGGUAAUACAGAGGGUGCAAGCGUUAAUCGGAUUUACUGGGCGUAAAGCGCGCGUAGGCGGCUAAUUAAGUCAAAUGUGAAAUCCCCGAGCUUAACUUGGGAAUUGCAUUCGAUACUGGUUAGCUAGAGUGUGGGAGAGGAUGGUAGAAUUCCAGGUGUAGCGGUGAAAUGCGUAGAGAUCUGGAGGAAUACCGAUGGCGAAGGCAGCCAUCUGGCCUAACACUGACGCUGAGGUGCGAAAGCAUGGGGAGCAAACAGGAUUAGAUACCCUGGUAGUCCAUGCCGUAAACGAUGUCUACUAGCCGUUGGGGCCUUUGAGGCUUUAGUGGCGCAGCUAACGCGAUAAGUAGACCGCCUGGGGAGUACGGUCGCAAGACUAAAACUCAAAUGAAUUGACGGGGGCCCGCACAAGCGGUGGAGCAUGUGGUUUAAUUCGAUGCAACGCGAAGAACCUUACCUGGCCUUGACAUAGUAAGAACUUUCCAGAGAUGGAUUGGUGCCUUCGGGAACUUACAUACAGGUGCUGCAUGGCUGUCGUCAGCUCGUGUCGUGAGAUGUUGGGUUAAGUCCCGCAACGAGCGCAACCCUUUUCCUUAUUUGCCAGCGAGUAAUGUCGGGAACUUUAAGGAUACUGCCAGUGACAAACUGGAGGAAGGCGGGGACGACGUCAAGUCAUCAUGGCCCUUACGGCCAGGGCUACACACGUGCUACAAUGGUCGGUACAAAGGGUUGCUACACAGCGAUGUGAUGCUAAUCUCAAAAAGCCGAUCGUAGUCCGGAUUGGAGUCUGCAACUCGACUCCAUGAAGUCGGAAUCGCUAGUAAUCGCGGAUCAGAAUGCCGCGGUGAAUACGUUCCCGGGCCUUGUACACACCGCCCGUCACACCAUGGGAGUUUGUUGCACCAGAAGUAGCUAGCCUAACUGCAAAGAGGGCGGUUACCACGGUGUGGCCGAUGACUGGGGUGAAGUCGUAACAAGGUAGCCGUAGGGGAACCUGCGGCUGGAUCACCU